AAACACCGGUUCUCGUACAAUCACCGAACUUAAGCAACGUCGAGCCUAGCCAGUACCUAGAUGGGUGACCAACUUGGAAUACCAGGU